UCGUAACAAGGUUUCCGUAGGUGAACCUGCGGAAGGAUCAUUACCGAGUGAGGGCCCUCUGGGUCCAACCUCCCACCCGUGUUUAUUAUACCUAGUUGCUUCGGCGGGCCCGCCGUCAUGGCCGCCGGGGGGCACCCCGCCCCCGGGCCCGCGCCCGCCGAAGCCCCCCCUGAACGCUGUCUGAAGAUUGCAGUCUGAGCGAUUAGCUAAAUCAGUUAAAACUUUCAACAACGGAUCUCUUGGUUCCGGCAUCGAUGAAGAACGCAGCGAAAUGCGAUAAGUAAUGUGAAUUGCAGAAUUCAGUGAAUCAUCGAGUCUUUGAACGCACAUUGCGCCCCCUGGUAUUCCGGGGGGCAUGCCUGUCCGAGCGUCAUUGCUGCCCUCAAGCACGGCUUGUGUGUUGGGCCCCCGCCCCCCGGCUCCCGGGGGGCGGGCCCGAAAGGCAGCGGCGGCACCGCGUCCGGUCCUCGAGCGUAUGGGGCUUCGUCACCCGCUCUGUAGGCCCGGCCGGCGCCCGCCGGCGACCCCCCUCAAUCUUUCUCAGGUUGACCUCGGAUCAGGUAGGGAUACCCGCUGAACUUAAGCAUAUCAAUAA
rnacentral:misc_RNA from 1 species